AGUGAACGCUGGCGGCAGGCCUAACACAUGCAAGUCGAGCGGCAGCGCGGGGGCAACCCUGGCGGCGAGCGGCGGACGGGUGAGGAAUGCGUCGGAAUCUGCCUUUUUGUGGGGGAUAACGUAGGGAAACUUACGCUAAUACCGCAUACGACCUACGGGUGAAAGUGGGGGACCGCAAGGCCUCACGCAGAAAGAUGAGCCGACGCCGGAUUAGCUAGUUGGCGGGGUAAAGGCCCACCAAGGCGACGAUCCGUAGCUGGUCUGAGAGGAUGAUCAGCCACACUGGAACUGAGACACGGUCCAGACUCCUACGGGAGGCAGCAGUGGGGAAUAUUGGACAAUGGGCGCAAGCCUGAUCCAGCCAUGCCGCGUGUGUGAAGAAGGCCUUCGGGUUGUAAAGCACUUUUGUCCGGAAAGAAAAGCUUCCGAUUAAUACUCGGGAGUUAUGACGGUACCGGAAGAAUAAGCACCGGCUAACUUCGUGCCAGCAGCCGCCGUAACAC
rnacentral:rRNA from 1 species